UAUAAAAAAUAAGAACAGAAAUUAAAUUUGUGAAUGUAUGCAUAAAAUAAAUGUUCUUUUCUAAUAUUGUUGCGCUUAUUUAUUUUGCAGAUUUCAAGAUACAAGAAUUUAAUUGGGGUUUGAAGUUCAUAACGAGGUGCAACGACCAACGACAUACGGUUAUAAUUUCGGUUUUAAGUUUGAUUUUGAGUUGGUUGUUAAGUUCAUCAAGGCAUACUAUAACAACGGCAUAAGCGUUCAUGCAAUCUAAUGGACGUAAUCGAGUGGUGGAAAAAGUAUUUGCGUGUUUCGGAAACAGAGCUUUUUCAUGGGUGCUACAUCCACCAACUGGAGCUUUUAAUCCUGAACAUUCGUAUACGGUUGGUUAUGUGUUGCAUCUCGAUUGGGCGAAGGAGUGCAUGUGGUUAAAUAAAUAUAUUGCGAGCAACCGAAGAAAGUGAUACUUACUAUUUUUUAUGUUUAAUAACUUUACUCCAGUACUAAUUUUGGUUUUUCGAUGGGAUAUGUUAGUUGUAUCAAAAUAAUGUUAAGUUUUUUAAUAGCUUUUAUUGGUCAUAAGAUUCGAUCAUUCGUCAUGUAAGGCUACGAGUAUUGUAUGACCUCAAUAUGCAAAAUAUGGACUUUUUGGUGCCUAAAAUUUGUAAAAUUCUGCACGCAUCGCUUGCAUGAAACACUAGGCACAAUAAAAUUUCUAAAAUUCGCGCACGCAUCGCGUGCAUAAAAUACUAGUGAACUUUAGAAUAAACGGAA